rnacentral:rRNA from 1 species
UGCCAGCCGCCGCGGUAAUACGGAGGGUGCAAGCGUUGUUCGGAAUUACUGGGCGUAAAGCGGGCGCAGGCGGUCUGGUAGGUUGGAUGUGAAAGCCCAGGGCUCAACCCUGGAACUGCAUCCAAAACCCCCAGACUUGAGUACGAGAGAGGAGGGCGGAAUUCCUGGUGUAGAGGUGAAAUUCGUAGAUAUCUGGAAGAACACCAGAGGCGAAGGCGGUCUCUUGGUCCGUAACUGACGCUAAGGCGCGAAAGCGUGGGGAGCAAACAGGAUUAGAUA